CCAAACCAUAACCCUUCCACCGCAUUAGCGUCACUGCCGCCGAUUCACCAUCGCCACGCGGCCGACAUCUACGUUUCGCCGAUCGAACGGCGCUCGGCAUCGUCAGUCGGCACACGGCACUUCGGCCAUACGACAGUCGUCCACUCUUAUCACUUCUGUCGUUCUCCGUGUCACUCACGGAUAUAGAUACUAUGGUUGCACAACGAGCACGGAUAUGACGGCUCAGAAUGUUCCUAUCAAGAAUGAAUAGAAAGUCGCGUCAUACUAGCGCUCUCUAUAGCCUCUAUUAUUGUUAUUAGUUAUGGUAACAUCACAAACUAAAUGUAGUCUGUGGUAACAUGGUACAAGAUUUCUAUAAUAAUGACUGUAGAGGGCACUAGUAGUACGCGACUUUUUGUCAGAUUUGAUAAGAACAUUCUGCGCCGCUCAACGCCGUGAUCCAAUAUAGGCUGUCGUGCAACCAUAGUAUCUAUAUCCGUGGUGUCACUACAGUCUUUCGGCCUCACGGACUUGUCGCAUUUGCACCUCUGGAACUUUACGCAGGUUAAAGUGUUAAAGGAAGUGUUCGAGACUCCGACGUCAAUCAUGGAAAGAGCUACGCCGUCCGUUACGGAAACGAAACCAUGGACAUGGAUGAACCGCAACCCUCGCCUUGAGUGAUAGCAAACGCUGUUCGCAGUAGGAACGUCGCUAUAAGAGGGCGCAAUAGGCAACAAACAAGCAACGAUGACCGCACACCAUUUGAAUGUGGUGUGACGUACAACGGAUUUGCUAGACAUCUCGAGCCAGACGCUGUCACGGGACAUUUGGUCGAAAAUAAUACUAUAUUAUAUCAGGUCAGGUGGUCCGAGAACAGUGCAUCUAGACCAGGGAUGGCGAACCUAUGUCACGCGUGUCACUCAGUGACACGCCAAUUUAAAUAUAAUUCAUAAUUUUUACUUUAAAAAAAGGUUUUUCAAAAAUAAUUACUGAUAAUUUGAAAUUAUUUAUAACUUAUUAUUGUAAUAUGUUUUAAGAUAUUAUUAACGUAUAAUGUCAUAAUCGUCGUAAUAUGUACUUUACAUUUCUUAAUCUCGUAAAAUGAAAUACGUACAACAAAUAAAAUCAUGUUUAUAUGUUUAAUUUUUAAUUAAUUAUUUUUUAAGCAAAAAAAGGUCUAAAAAGUUUCUGACACGCGAGGCAAAUAAAAUCAAACCUAACAUUUUGAUUUGACACGCAGUUAGCAAAAGGUUCGCCAUCCCUGAUCUAGACCAAUCGAAUCAAGCCUCAUGCGAAGUUACAGGCCACUCAUGCUUCUUGACUUUUAUGAAGAGAUGAUAAAAAAUAAUGCACAGUAAAAAUGCCUGUGACAAAUGACUCGGUUCACGAGCAUGAUUAUGAGUACCAAUUCUGUACCUUUGUAAGCAAUAUUGUAUUAAUAAUGUUAUAUAUUUUAAGUGUUCUAACUAUAGAUAAUUAAAAAUAUGUUGACU